rnacentral:lncRNA from 1 species
GUGGCACCCAGAGUCGGUCCUGUAGCUGGGCCGGCUUGGGGCUUGGUUCUAUGUCCCUGUGGGUCGGUGCAAGGGCCAAGAGGAACCCGUAGGCCUCAGGGAAUCCCAGGGGGCCGGACCAGUGUUCCCUAGUUGUGGAAGCAGACGCAUGGGCGAAUCGCGGGAGGGCAGGGCCUGAAGAGCAGGUGCGGGCCACGGACCCAGGCGGAGGCUGGGAGGACAGGCGUGGGGUCCCAGCAGUGAAGCGGGUUCUAGAGGCACAGGAGCGGGUAGGAGAGGCCAGUGGCCCUAGGCCCAGAGUCUGCAGGCCGCGCUCCUGUCCUGCCGCUGAGGGACACGGUUACCAACCAGCAUGAUGCUCAGUUUGCCCAUCUGUCCCAGUGCUAACACACAGUUCUCAGGAGACUUUCCCCAUUCCCAGAGGAGUAGUGUGAAACGCGUGCGCCGCUAGUCUUAAACUUGGUGUUUGUAUUAGUUGGGUUUCCUGGUGUCUCUUUAGCAAGUGAAGUUUCUGGUUCCCUCCUUCACUGUGUGACCUGCCUAGUCCUCCUGGGUCGCAUUUACAGAAGUUUAUACGAGACCUAGUUUCCAGGGAAGAACUCACUGAUUCCACAAGGGAGAUGGCAUAAUAGAUGAUGGUCGUCAGCCUUAAGGGUACUUCAGUCUUAACUGUGUGUUACAAAGUUUGAAAGGGAGGGUUCCCUAUGAAUAAGAAGCACACUUGAAAGAACAGCCAUCUGGUCUAACCUCUCACUGGUGCUUCAGAGGAGGAAAAAAGGUCACAGCUAUGUUUCCAGUGUCCUCUGGGUGUUUCCAAGAGCAACAAGAAACGAAUAAAUAUCUGG